CACGUAGGGCGCGAGCGUUGUCCGGAAUUAUUGGGCGUAAAGAGCUCGUAGGCGGCCUGUUGCGUCCGCUGUGAAAGCCCGGGGCUUAACCCCGGGUCGGCAGUGGAUACGGGCAGGCUAGAGGUAGGUAGGGGAGAAUGGAAUUCCUGGUGUAGCGGUGAAAUGCGCAGAUAUCAGGAGGAACACCGGUGGCGAAGGCGGGUCUCUGGGCCGAAACUGACGCUGAGGCACGAAAGCGUGGGUAGCAAACAGG
rnacentral:rRNA from 1 species